rnacentral:lncRNA from 1 species
UUCUAGGUUGAGAUUAUGCAACCAUGGAAUCAACAUAACUUUGAUUUAAAAGAUUCACUUCUUUCUAAAUGGAGUCUUUAAAACCCCAAAAAAAUAAACUUCUAUACUACUACAAAACGGCAACACCUAUGUGCCAUUUCAGUUACUGACCAAAAGUCGAAAAGUGUAUACUAUUGUGAGUCUGCUAAAACCUAUUCUGCUAAUUUCUUUAACUCAUACAUAACAGAGCAUUCACAAACUACAAAUCAAAGAAUUUGUCAAAAUUAUGCAAAGCAAAAAAUCAUAAGCAACCACAUAUGCCACCAAUUGCAAAACCAAGCAAAGUUCAUGAUUUACAAAGUUCUUGCACAUAAUAUAUACCAGGCAAUAAGAAACUGAAUCGUUAAUAGAAAAAUAGCAACAACAAAUGCAGUAACCUAAUCUCAAAUUACUCAGCCUUAUAUAAAAAUCACAUUUUUUGUUUAUAAUCAAAACAGAUAAAAACAAAUUCAAAUAAAGGGGUUUAAACUGUGAUAAAAAAAAUCCCCUUGAACAACAAAUAUCAAGUAUUGUAUAGAAAAUAGUAACAUACAUGUUUAGAAUCAAGAAUUAUAGAUGGACCAAUGAUGCCUUCGUUUGAUAGAAGUUGACGAAGCCUUGAGUGCNNNNNNNNNNNNNNNNNNNNNNNNNNNNNNNNNNNNUGAGUGUAUGAAUUAUGAAAGACUGAAUGAGGGUUUGAGUGUACGAGAGACUGAAUCGAAAAGGGGGGAAACGUGUUUGAGUGUAUAAGAAACUGAAUCGAGAAUUUUAAGGUAUGAAGAAGUUGAAUCCAGGGAGGAGGUUUAAGGGCAUGAAGAAAUUGAAUCCAGGUCAGUUUGAGAGCAUGAAGGAAUUGAAUCUUGGUUUUUGAAUGUGUGCAGAGAUUGCUACAAGGGUUUCAAAUUUGUUUGUUAAUUUGAGAUUAUUUCUCAAUAAGUUAAAUUUUUC